UAAUUUGAGUUAGAUGAAUCUUCCAAAGCUAGUCUUUUUUAGUACUAAUUUCUCUAAUUUCUUACUAUUCCUUUGUUGUGACUCAGCCAGAAAACAGUCCAUGAAAGCACAAACGGGGAGUUUUCUUCUAUCUUGAUUCAACCAAAAACGCAUCCAAUCAACAUAGGGGCAUGCACUCCUUGAUGUCCUUCAUCUCCUCCUCGUAGUCUUUGAUCGUCUGCUCCACCUUCUUGCGGUCUGUCUUUGAAUGGACUGUGUCAGUGAUGUUGGCUGAAGCAGACGCCACCCCACCUGCCGUAGCUACACCAAUGCCUACAGCAGUGACGAUGAGCGAUGCUCCUGCUGUAAAGGGCGCCAAAAUGAGGCCAGUGAUAGUAGUGAUAGACCCAGCAACACUGGCCACCCCACCACCGACACAGGCCUUGACGGUUUUCUUAUGGAAAAUAUCAGCUGAAUCAGCCAAAGCGAGCAGCUCUAGGAUUCGCUGCUGGAGUGAGGCACCGCGCUGGUUAAAAAAGCGAACAAAAAGUUGAGCUGCCAUGAAGACACGAUCAGCUGCUUGUUCCACCACUCUGAGACAAGGAAACAAGGAAAAUAUGUUAAAACACUGGAUUAUAAUGCAAAUUUGAGUUGAAAAAAAAAGGACCUAAAUAACUUUAAACUAAGAACCAUUUAUGUAUUGUAUAUAACAGUGAAGCAUUAAGCUGCCACUCUUUUGGUAAAGGUUAGUUCUGUAGACAAGAUGAGUAAUAUGUCAACCUUAGUUGUUAAGGAUAAACAAACUAUUUUUUAAAGGUAGAAAUGUCAUAUCAACUGUGUCGAUUGUCUGGGAUUUAAGCAUAGUAUUGUGAUACAAUGUUUUCUGUUAAUAUUGGCCUGUGCAACUCUUAAUCCUUAGAAAAUAAAUUCUACAAGCAAAUUCA